GACGGAGGAUGCAAGCGUUAUCCGGAAUGAUUGGGCGUAAAGCGUCCGCAGGUGGCAGUUCAAGUCUGCUGUCAAAGACCGGGGCUUAACUUCGGAAAGGCAGUGGAAACUGAACAGCUAGAGUAUGGUAGGGGCAGAGGGAAUUCCUGGUGUAGCGGUGAAAUGCGCAGAUAUCAGGAGGAACACCGGUGGCGAAGGCGGGUCUCUGGACCGACACUGACGCUGAGGCGCGAAAGCUAGGGGAGCAAACGGG
rnacentral:rRNA from 1 species